GCGAACACCUCAGUUAUAAAUCUGCUAUGGACAGACAACUACAUUAUUUCUAUUACAAGAAGCUACACGUUACACACUUCAUUUUUAAAUUGAUAUCAUACGCCAAACAAAAUAAUCUAUCAUGAGUAUGUUAUUUUUCUAAAGUAAUUGAUGUGAACGAUUUGUGUUUAGUGCUUUAAGUUUAACUAAUUGGGUCACGUUAAGACAACAAUUUCUAAGCUCAAUUAAGAAAUGGAUUCCACGACCGCUAACAUUAUAUUAUGGAAUGGAGAAUGCUGAUUCAGUAGAACCACUCAUUUCAUCCGCACAUCUAACAUUUGAAUUUAAAUACGUUAUUCAUGUGAUAGCACUAAAUUCCUUAGAAAGGGAAUAUAUAAAUGCUUGGGAAAUAUUUGUACAUCUCAUGCGUUACAUAAAGGAUCUAACAAUUAUACUAGUAGGACCAAAUUUUGAGCAGGAUCAUUAUGACAUGGAACUUUGUUAUUACUGCAAGAACAGAUGUAUAACGCUUCAUGUUGAAAUUUAUAAUACAUUUUAUAUCUUGAAGACCAUGGAGGGAUUUGAAGACUGGUACUGUAUAUUUUCGUAAUGAUUUUGUAACUUUCUAUCGUAACACAAUUACUUUAUGAAGAACAUACUAAAUGGUUCAGAGCAUUUGUAUAAGAUUUUAGCAUAUAUAAUAUAAAAUAUAUGUUGUUUAUACAAUCGAAUUAUGAAUAUUUUUAUUAAAAGGCACUUUUCAUUGUACUUGCGAUGUUUCUAUUUAAUAGUCAUUCAUAAUAAUAAACAAAUAUAUUAGAUACAUAGAAACUUUUUAAAAUAGAACGUUUAAUUUGAGUAAGAAAGUAACAGCUUGAAAAUAUGAUUGUAAAAAUAGGACGCAAAUAUUACAGUAAAAAAUUCAUAUUUGGAUUAUUAAAAAUUGUCUUGUAACGUGUUUAAAUGUAGUUUAUAUUCUUGCACAUUUCAUUUGCGUAAUAAAUAGGGGAAGUUAAAAUUUAUGAGCGUUGCAACACGAUCACACAAUGCUUUAACAGUACAUGCUAUUUUUAAUUAAGAAUCAAUAUUCUGAUGUGGAAAUAUCAGAGCAAAAAUGCUUUAUGAAUUGUAAAGAAAAAAUGUUGGCUUACCAUAAAUUAAAUUUAAAAAGCCUAAUAAAUUUUACAUUCACCAUUAGUAUGCGAUUCAUCAUAAUAGAUAGAUAAUAUUUAGUGGAAUAUAGUUUAUUAUCUCCUAUAAUUAAACAAGUACAAAGAAAAGUAUAAAGUAAAUACAAAAAUAUGUUAUAUGGAAAAUUGAAUAUAAUCGCAAAUAAUAACCUCUUUCGACAUUGUAUUGGUUAUUACAGUUUCGUUAUUACUCUGAGCUGUAGAAUAAUAAAAUUUUAGAUUUAGUUGUAAUACAUCUUUUACUUAGCUUGUAUAAAAGUUUCCUAUAAUGAUAUCUAUAUAAAUUUAACUCAGAUAAGUUUUAGUAUAACAUAAUUCAAUAUUUAACACAAUACAAAUUUUUCAUAUAGUAUUGCGCCUUAGUUAGAAUACGUAUAUAAUUAGGUUUGUACGCAUAUUCAUCAGCAAAACAUACAUAAAAUAAAAAUAAUUCAACUCUUACUUUCUCAAUGUAUUAACAAUAGUUUCAAAACUUGAAACUUUCUUCGUUGUGCCUUUUUCUUAUUUUCAUAUGAAAAAAUAUAAAUAUAUCAUAUGAGCUUAUUUGCGACAUUCUAUUUAGUGUAAUGGUUAUAUAUAUUUGUGGAGUAUUACAUCGUCAAAUACAAUACCGUUUGUGUAAUGAUCGUGGCAGAUAAAAAAACUUGUACCACUUUAGUAUUGUGUAAUCGUUUAUCACAGAUCUGAAAAGUGUAUAGGAACAUUUGUUAAGCAGUUAUGUUUCUAUGUUCAAUUCAAAUGUUAUCAAAUACUUUAUUCAAUUCAAAAGUUUGCACUUAAAUGAAUUAUUCACAUGGUAGCACUAAAUGCCUUAGAAAAGGAAUAUUUAAAUGCUUGAGAAAUCCUCUUACAUCUCUCAUGUCAUAUAAAGGACUUUAUAAUUAUAUUAGUAGUACCAAAUUUUGAGCAGGAUUAUUAUGAUAUAGAGAUUUGUGCUAAAUGCAAUUGAAAGAAUUCAGUGAUUCAUGUUGAAAUUUAUAAUAUAUUUUACCAUAUAUAUGUGACCGAUCCGUCAUUUAAACAACCACAUAUAAAUAUGGAAUUUCAAGCAGAUUUUAAUAAUAAGCGGACAUGUUCGCGGAGCAUAUUUUUAUCAUGGAUUAGACAUUGCCCGUUGAUUUUAAAUUGCAUAUUGGCACAAAAACCAUUUAUUUUUAAAUUGAUAAUACACAUUAAUUAUUGAUUAAAUAAAAUUUAUGAGAGCUCUAGAAUGAUAGAAAUUGAUAAGUCAAACAUCUAUGGUAAUUAUAGUGGUUUCGCUGGAUAAACGCUGAAAAUUUUAUGUUGUGCAAUCUGUGAAAACUUAUAUUAUAUGUUACUCUAGAGAUAUACACAGCGUGCGACAUCUUCCCCGACAAAUGCAGAUUUUUGCGGAUAUAUUAAACAAUUUUUAACAGAGAUAAGUUCAAUUGAUUGGAUCAAGACUACGAUCUCUGAGUGCAAAAGAAAAACAAAUGCUACGUAAACUACAGACGUACGAGAAACAGAUGAUUAUUUUCGCUAACUUUUAUGCGUUGAACAAAUGUAGGAAUUUCGAAACAACCAUUUAUCAGCAAAGAGAUGAUUUUAUAUUUCAACUUAAAUAUCGUGUAUCUCAGGUUUCUGUAUCGUGUAUCUCAGGCAAAAGUUACUAAUUCAUCCGGUACAUACAUUUGUGGAGUAUAUGUAUACAGGGUGUCCCACAAUUGGUAUAACACCCGUUAAACGUAGGUAAGAGGUGAA